rnacentral:rRNA from 1 species
UACGGGGGGGGCAAGCGUUGUUCGGAAUUACUGGGCGUAAAGGGCUCGUAGGUGGCCAACUAAGUCAGACGUGAAAUCCCUCGGCUUAACCGGGGAACUGCGUCUGAUACUGGAUGGCUUGAGUUUGGGAGAGGGAAGCGGAAUUCCCGGUGUAGUGGUGAAAUGCGUAGAUAUCGGGAGGAACACCAGUGGCGAAGGCGGCUUCCUGGCCUGUUCUUGACGCUGAGGCGCGAAAGCUAGGGGAGCAAACGGG